rnacentral:rRNA from 1 species
AACGAACGCUGGCGGCAGGCCUAACACAUGCAAGUCGAGCGAAGCCUUCGGGCUUAGCGGCGGACGGGUGCGUAACGCGUGGGAACGUGCUCUUUGGUACGGACUAGCCCCGGGAAACUGGGAGUAAUACAGUAUGUGCCCUCCGGGGGAAAGAUUUAUCGCCAAAGGAUCGGCCCGCGUUGGAUUAGGUAGUGGGAGGGGUAAUGGCCUACCAAGCCGACGAUCCAUAGCUGGUUUGAGGGGAUGAUCAGCCACACUGGGACUGAGACGCGGCCCAGACUCCGACGGGAGGCAGCAGUGGGGAAGCGUAGACAAUGGGGGAAACCCUGAUCUAGCCAUGCCGCGUGAUCGAUGAAGGCCUUAGGGUUGUAAAGAUCUUUCAGUGGGGAAGAUAAUGACUGUACCCACAGAAGAAGCCCCGGCUAACUCCGUGCCAGCAGCCGCGGUAAAAC